UGGGAGAGCGGAGACCCGGAGGAGUUCCGGUGUGAGCACUUUCGCGGGGAGUUGAAGAGAGUAGGUCGUCGUGAAGUUGUCUCUGCGCGUUUUCUGGUUGCGGAGCUUCUCCCAUCAAGAGGUGGUGUCUAUUCCUCCAUUCUCUGAAUGUAGGCUUGGCCAUGUGACUUGCCUUACUUGUUCUAUGGGACAUUAGCAAAUCUGAUAACAAGGAGAGUCUUUAAAAAUGCUUACAAUGAUGACUACUCACUCUGUCCUGCUGCUGGGAACUCUUCCACCACCUGUGAAAAACUCCUGCUAACCUAAUGGAUAAUGAGAGACAUGUGGUCAUCAUCUCAUCUGACUUCUAACCAACUGACAGACUGGAGUGUGGCCCCUUAGACCAGCUCACCUGCCAACCACCAGAUAUGUGAGCCCGGCUGUUGUAGGCCACCUAGGCUUAGCUGUGCUGGUCCAGACAAGUAGAAACCCCCAGUGAACCCACAGACCAGCAAAAAAUAAUGUUUAUUGUUUUAAAGGUAAACCAGCAAGUUUUGAGGUGGUUUGUUUUGCAGUCAAAGAUAACUGAUACGCAAGGCAUUCUUUGCAUCUAUCUGGCUGGAUUUGGUUGGGUGUACUUCUUGGAGCCGCUGAGCACAUAAAGAAGAGAGCCACCGUGCAUCAUUCUCACGUGGCUGGCCUCCGUUACCUUAAGGCCCCAAAAUUAAGGUGCGCCUUAUACAUGGGGAAAUACGGUAUAUGAUGUUUCAGCCUCCACAAGCCAGUCCACCCUGGGGAACUGCCUGCAUCUACUUACUGAGGCCCAAAGCUGAACUUGGAGAGUGUCUUCUAAAGAAUGAGGCUCCCAGCAGUGGGCAGCCAGCAUCCCCCUGCAGGUCUCUGCUCCCACUGCAGAAGUUCUUUCCAAUCCUGUGACUCUGGGAUUUGCCAACAUUCUGACAAACUUUGACUAUAUUCUUUCCCUCACCGGCUACUAGAAGAGAGGUCAGUCCAAAGGCCAAUCCCAAAGUGACUCAUCUUUGAAAACAGUGGAUGGUUUCGCUCUCCUUGAUACUUAAUUGAAAGCUAUCUUUGCAAAGCUCCAUCCAGAUUCCUGUGGUGGGCCCAGCACUCAGCUGCCCCACAGACUGCCAGAGUAAAGGGAGCAGGAGGCAGUGCGAGCCAUCUGUCCUAGAACAAGACAUCUGGUCACAGGUCUGUGCCUCUGGUCGGGGCUUUUGGGGGGCCAUCUGGGCCCCCAUCCGACAGAGCUGUUACAAGCCAGAAUUAUAACAAGUGCUGGCGAGACUCAGAGGAGAGGGUGCUUGAGCUGAAGUCGGCUUGGCAGUGAGUUUGGCUGGCUGGAAGAAUCCCGUGGCCAAUCUAUUGCUGUAAGUGUGUCCGUGGACACCUAUACAUGCCCUGGAGCUUACACCCAUCACCAACACUGAAUGUUGAGUUAGCAAGUGUGGUACUAUGCAUUUUCUAUUGUUAAGGCUGUCCUCUCUGAGUUAAGGGAAAAAAAACAGCACUAUCAAUUUCAGGAGAAAAACGUCUAGAGAAGUUAUGGAGGACACCAGGUGAGUAUUUUGGAAACUUGAGCUCAGUGGAUGCAAGGUAUCCUGGGGGAACGUAAGUGGAAAAGAAUUUUCCCAAAUACAGGGUGGGUCAUACUUGCUUUUAUUAGAUGUGAGGCGUUGGGCCCCUGGCAUUGUUUCUUUAUUGCCCCCACAUAGCACAUGCCACAGGACUGUGUUCCUCUUGCAAGCUUACUGCUAUUUUAUCCCUGAUUCUUAGCUAAAGGAAACUAAGUAUGGUAUAAUGGGACUUGCUGGUAUUAAGGUGAAAUAUAUUCAGUGCCAGAGAGGUUGAAAAGGUUGUCUUUAACCUGGGCCUUCAUUUACUACUUUAUAGCAAGAGCACAUGUUGAAUCCUUUGAGUCAAACCAAUCUUAACAGGUUUUUAACCCUGUUGCAAUUUCAGGGAAUAACACACAACUUCAUUGGUAAUCUGAUUCAGAAACUUCAUCAUUAAAAACUGAGCUAGGUUUUCAGUCUCUUCAAUUAAGUGAGUUUGAUUUUUAUAAUGCUUAUAACUUCCCUGAGAUUAUGUUGGAAGAGAAGAGUGGUUAUAAAGCUAACGGAGCUAAUAAUAAUACCCUUCUGACCAAUUCCCUUCCAUGCCCACCCCAUCCCACACCCCCACCAAAAAAGGGACAAAAUACUUAGCUUAACAUGUGGUCAUCAAGCAGCCAGUCAUUUCCUAAUAUGGCCAGUUCAGGCCUCCAGUUUCACUUCUGGAAUUCAAGUGCGAGGAGAAUGGCAUUUACAUCAGUGUAUGUUUUCUACAACUCCUUUCCUUCUCUCUCCUGAAAGCCAUGAAGCCUCUGUGUUGCCUGCUUUAAUAUAAUUACGUCAUGUGCAAUGGCUUCAUUUCCUGCACCUCCAAUACAGGAUCAGCCCUGACCCAGUACAAUUUAACACUAAUAGUUUGAUACAAAAUUAAAAUCAAUUAGGCACAAGAUUUGAGGGCUCUCUUCUUAUUAAAAAUGAAUAGUUAUCCAAAGAAAAAUGGUUAUAGCCAUUAAAAAGAAAAGUCAAUACAUUUCUGCUGACAUAGGAAGAUGUCAGUGGUAAGAUUUAAAGAGAAACUAGCAAGUUACAGAAAAGUAAAGUCAUUUUGAAAAAAAGUUGAACAGUGAUUUAAUCUUUUGAAAAACAAUUUCCCAUCAUAACAAUAAAGAUAGUUAUGAUACAUGUCCUAACCUUAGACUCAGGUUUGAUUUUUUUUUUAAAGACUUUAUU